CACUCUCAGUUAAGCAAAAAGAGUCAGGGGCAUGGCUGUUGCUCUCCACAAUGGACUAGCAACUAAGCAACUAGCUCAUGUAGUCAUGGGGCUGGCAAGUCCAAAAUCCAUGGUGCAAGCUAGGCUAGCAGUCUGGAGGUUCAGCAGGAAACAUAAAAUCUGGAAAGAUGAAGAAUACAAUGCUUUAAACCACUUUGGAGACUAAUCAAUACAAGAAAGAACUGAGUGGCUCUGUCUUGGAAGAAGGGAAGCAGAAUGAGUACAAUGAGAAGAUGGCCAUCUAGGUACCAGAAAAAGGGUCCUCACCAGAUACCUUUUCUGCCAGC